CUUGAGUGGCCCAGCCAGAGCCUAGACUUGAACCCGAUUGAACAUCUUUGGAAAGACCUGAAAGUAGUUGUGCACCAACGCUGCCCAUCCAACCUCACUGAGCUUGAGAGGAUGUGCAAGGAAGAAUGGGGAAAAACUCCCCAAAUCCAGGUGUGCCAAGCUUGUUGCAUCAUACACAAGAAGACUAUAGGCUGUAAUCGCUGCCAAAGGUGCUUCGACCAAGUAUUGAGUAAAGGGUGUGAAUACUUAUGUAUAUGCAACAUUUGAAUGUCUUAUUUUUAAUAAAUUUGCAAAAUGUUCUAAAAAGUUUUUCACUUUGUCAUUAUGGGGUAUUUUGUGUAGAAUUUUUGAGGGAAAAGGGAAUUUUAUCCAUUUUGGAAUAAGGCUGUAACAUAACAAAAUGUGAAAAAAGUGAAGUGGUAUGAAUACUUUCCGGAUGCACUGUAU